AGCGAUGUUUGGAAAAGGAGAGAAAUCAGAGCAGAGCGUGUUAAUCGAAUCCACUCGAGUUAGAUGGUAAAAGAUGCCGACAGCGGAACUUGGAAUGAUCGAGUAAACUUCAGGCAUUUAUUGGAUUCAUGGAUCUAUGAUAAAUCCUCCGUUACAAUGGUCGUGUAGUGUGACAGUAGAAAAAUGGUAUCUAAUCGUAAUACUUGAAAAUUUGUUAUAGUUACAAUAUCUUGAUUGGACGUCUCAACUAAACCUCUCACGCUUUCGAAACGUGAUGAAAUAAUUUUUGGCAAAAAAAUAUAACCGACUUCGUAAAAACAUUAAAAUUGCACUAAAAAGUAUGAAAUAAUUUCUAUUUCCUUUAUAUUAAACAGGGACCAUAACUGUUAUAAGUAAAAAGAAAAAAAAUCAUGGUAUAACAAGUAUUGGAAAUGGGUCAUAGGUGAAUAAUAAAAUACUGAAUUUCUAGAUAACUUUUGCUUUAUUCACUAAAUUGUCAUGAGCAAAUUCUGAUCUUUUCUUAACGAGGAGCUGCACAAGACUGACCGAUGAACGUUAAAAGAAAAACCGUAGAAAGAAUUUCUAACUGCAUACAGCGUAGUUUUAGCACAUCUGUUUAGUUUUUAGUAAACUACAGGAAGUGUCCUCUCAGACACUUGAGAGGGUAGGCCACAGCCUAAACGAAAACUUUCUCUUUCGUUAUUCUGCAGUGACAGAUAUAACGUUGUACAUAUAUUUUCAGUACGUUUAUUUUUGUAAUAAAAUGACAUGUUGCUGUUUAGUAAAUAUUCCAACAACAAGUAUUCGAUCGACUAAAAUCGUAUUGAUUACAAAUAAGGAUUAUAAGUGACCGAAAAUUUGUUCUCUUGUUGGUAAAUGUUAUCGUCGAGAGAAAUUUAUUUCGAUCGCUCAUAAGAGUUAUCGAUGAGAGAAAUCUAUUUCGAUCGCUGAUAACUGUUAUCAAUCAGAGAAGUUCAUUUCGAUUGCUUAUAACAGUUAUUGAUAAAAGAAAUUUUUAAUAGUUAUUAGUUUCUUUUUAUUUCAAUUUCAACGUAUGACUUGCUAAUUUCGGAACAACUUAUAUUGUCCAAUUCAUCGUCCGAGGCGUUCUCCUCGUUCUAAUCCACUUCCAUUACUCUUAUAGAAUUUUGCAGGAACAUGUGAGCAGUCGCGUGGAGAAUACCGUCAUUUUGUAAAUUUAAAUUAAGUGGGUUUGCACCUGUGUGUUAAACAACUGUACAUCCAUAUACGAGUGGAACAGAGUUGUCCAUGAACAAAGACAGUUAACAAACGGAUUUUGUGUUGUUCUUUUGGUCUGUUUAUUCGUCUUGUCUUGCGAAACCUUCUUAAUGAUUUUCACAGACUUGCUCCAUUCGAAAAAGAGUAAACAACUCAAUAAUUAAAUAAGCAACCCAAAUGAAUUUUCUCAUCAAUAAUGAUGAGCAAGUGAACAAAAAUUCAAUCAUCGAUAACUGUUAUGAGCCCAUUGAGCUCUAUCCUAAUUGGAGUGUGAACUCCUGUAGGAAGAAGUAGAGGCGACGGAGGUCCGAGAGAAAUGCAAAAUGGGUGGUUCCGGUAUUAUCCUAUAGCAAAUUUAUUUGUAGAGGGGGAACAAACGUACGCCGUAACAUAACCUACUCGAGCAUCGCUGAGUAUUGUCGAGUGAGUUACUUUCAGAUUCUUUUCCGCAUAAAAUUGGAUAAAUACAAUUUAAAUUGAAUUGUCACAAAUAAUAAAAUUUAGCUCUAUACCAAAUUGUAUAUAUUUGUAUGAUCUAAAUUAUGGUAUGUAAAUUAUGUAUACUAUUUCAUUAUUAUGUCAUUAUUAUUAAUGUUUCUAUCGUUUUAUAUAUAAAUAAAAAGGAAAUAAAGUUCAAAUCUGAACAUAAUUAAUCUGUAAAUAAUUUCUAGAGUGCCGCGAAAUUCAAACAAAGAGGAGUUUGUUCUCCCUCCACACAUAAAUUUGCUAUAGGAUAGUACCACCGGAACCACUCAUCUUGCAUCUCUCUCGCAGUUCACACUCCCGUUAGGAUAGAGCUCAAUGGUGGACACUUCCUUAAUAACGAAAACGAAUACUUAAUACACUGAAUGUAUUUAGAAUAUGCGAAAGAUUCUUUUUAAACAACUAUCAGCUUCCGGAGUGUUUGAUUUUUCUGAAAUUACAGAGCCCGAUCUUGAAAUUUUAUUUACUGGUUCGUACCAAUUAUCUCAAUGCGUGUCAUAUUUAGCAGAAUUAAUGGACGACCAAAAUAAUAUUAAUGGCCUUAAGGGCGCGCAGGAGAUAAACUGACGCCACCAACGGAGAGUAGGUGAAUUGCUAGAUAGUUUUUCCCGUUUCACAGGCACAAUAAUGAAAAAAAACAUAUAAUAAUUAUGCAUUUCGUAAUCAGGGGAAGUACAUCUAUCGUCUCAUUAAGCGUUUUGGAGAAAAUUGAAAAAAAAAAAUAAAUUUCUUGCAUUUAAACGUAUUUUCAGCAUGUUUCAAUAGCGACAUUGCAAAAUCUGGCAGUAUCGCCCACAGUGGAAUUUUACAAGAAAUAGUUUAAACAAAAAAUCAGCCGGAAAGGUCGUUUUCUCGCUUCAUAAAAUGUAAAUAACUGUUUGGAAAAUUACAAAUGUUUGACAUCAUUCUGUCUUUGUCUCUCCUCCGUUUGUUGUAUCUCCCUCUCUGUCACAGCAUCAUUGGAGAGACAAGGAUCUAUCUAUUCUUGUCCCAGAGCAUCCUACUUUUUCCACAACUGUCGCUGAAGUCAACUCGGAGUUUUGCUCGAAUCACGUCGCAUUAGCAAUAAAAUCUAUAGAUGUUACAUCUGACUACACACCAAAUUCAAUAGACUACAGAGCAGGGCCCCCAAGCUCCACUCUGGUGACCAUGAAGCCCGAUUUAAUUCGGGCCCCGGGGUUUGGCGGCGCCAGUGUCACUCUUUUACGUCUAUUAAGUUCAUAUUCUGUCUAACCGCACGAUCGAACGCGAUCGAUAAUUCAACGAUUGGAACGAUUGGAUGGAAUUCAACGAUUUUACUAAAGACAUGGACGAUAAAAAAUGAUUGUGUUGUCCAAAGGGGUCGACUCCAAGCAACCAGCAGGAAAUGCUUUAAAGGUAUUAAGUAUUUUUUUUAUUAUAUAUUUAUUAUAUAUUGCAUUUUUUAUUAUAUACUUUUAUUGUACAUUUUUCCGUAUUUUUAUUAUAUAUUGUAUUUUUUUAUUAUAUAUUUUUUUUGUAUACUUUAUUGCAUUUUUUGAUUAUAUAUUUUUAUUGUACAUUUUACCGUAUUUUUACUGUAUAUUUCAUUGUAUUUUUAUUAUAUAUAUUUUUUAAAUAUAGCGUAUGUAUAUUUUUAUUAUAUACAUUUUUUAUUGUAUAUUGUACUGUCUAUUAUUAUUACAUUUAUGUAUAAUAAGUUUAAUUUCAUAAAGUUGGGCCUUUUUUUUCCUUCCUUUACUUUUUAUUCAGUUUCAUUUUAAAGCAGGUACAAAUCCACAUAUAUAGGACCAUGCUGUUGUGUGUGUGGCUCACUGAUUAUGUUGUAUGCGGUAGUAACGACACUGGCGCCGCCAAACCCCGGGGCCCGAAUUAAAUCGGGCUUCAAUGCGACGUACGGUAGCUUGGCGGCCCAAUUUAGACUUUUUAUGUAGGGUUUAAUAAUAAAUUGCAGCCAGUGUUGUAAAAUGUUGAUCGAUCUUGAUUACAAGAUAAGUUGUCAAAUCUGAAUUGCCAGAUACCUUGAUUCAUACAGAAAACUGUUUUUAAUAUAGAUCCAUAUCACCAAAGUGUUUUGAAUUUAAGCUUUUUAUGUAGAGCUUGUGAAAAUGAAAGGGGCUCACAGGAUUAGAGAUUAACAAAUUACUGCCAGUAAAGUAAAAUGUAGAUGAACUUUGAUUACAAGGUAAGUUGUCUAAAUCUGAAUUGCCAGGUACCUUUAUUCAUACAGAAAACUGUAUUUAGUAUAGAUCCAUACCACCAAAGUGUUUUGUAUUUAGACUUUUUAUGCAGAGCUUAUACAAACAGACGGACCCACAGGUUUGGAGGUUAUUCGUUAACAAAUUGCAGCAACUGUUGUAAAAUGCUUAUCCAUUUUCAUUACAAGGUAAGUUGUCAAAAUCUGAAUUGUCAGGUAUCUUCAUUCGUACAGAAUAGAUCCAUACCACUAAAGUGGUUUUAAUUUAAACUUUUUAUGUAGAUCUUAUAGAAAUGGAGUCAUUUUCUCAUUUCAUCAUUAACAUUAAAAUUUCUUGCAGCAAGAAAAAAAUUGCAGGUAUAUAUAAUUAUUUAUAAAUUGAACGAAUAAGUGUUUAUAAUUAAUAAAUUAUAUGAAAUAUAUAUAUAUUCGCUUUUGUCAUCCCCUCUCUCUUUAUUUUACUGUAUUCAAUUGAAAAGGAAAAAUAAUAAUUUAGACUUCUUAUGCAGAGUUUACAGAAAUAUCCAUUUUAUUUUUAUAAAUUUAAAAUAGAUUCUAUAUAAUAAAUGAUUUGUAAAAAGAAGUGUAAAAAAGUAAAAAGUAAAAAAAUUACGCCAAGUACAUGAAAAAGUGGAGGACUCAAGGAGUUAUCACUGAAAAAUAGAAGAUCCCCAUAAAAAAAAAAACUACAAGAAAUUAGAAAAAGAUGUGAAAUCGAAAUAAGCUGCCAGAUGAUUUGCCUAGAUUUCCGCGGCCUGGAAGGCAAAUGCUUGGCGUGGCCAGACAAGGUCGAGGUGUCGAUGAAUAAGAAUUAUUUUAAAACGCAAAAUAAUGAAAGUGUACUCAUAUUGUCAGAGUUUUAAACUGACAAUUUAUCUGAAAGCUUGCGAGAGUAAAGGUAUUGGUGUCGAUGAAUGACCUUAGAAAUAUUUUAAAACGCAAUACAAUGAAAGUGUACUCAUAAUAUUGUCAGAGUUUUAAAUUGUCAAAUUACCUGACAGUCUGUAAAAACAGAAAGUAUGGGUAUUGAUGAUCUAAGAAUGCCUUGCCUGGCCACGCCAUGCAUUUGCCUUCCAAGCCGCGGAAAUCUGGGCAAAUCAUCUGGCAGCUUAUUUCGAUUUCACAUCUUUUUCUAAUUUCUUGUAGUUUUUUUUUUAUGGGGAUCUUCUAUUUUUCAGUGAUAACUCCUUGAGUCCUCCACUUUUUCAUGUACUUGGCGUAAUUUUUUUACUUUUUUGAAGUUUUUUAGACAUAUACACAAUAUACAUUUCUAUAUACUCAAAGAGUAGUUCGGCAAACCGUCUGUAGCGGCUAGCUGUAAAUGUUUGAAAAGACUUCGAACGUGCAAACGGCUAGCACGGUUUAUGACACGAACCAUAGCGGAACUAUUUUUGAGAAAGCCGUUAUAACGAAUAGAGUUUUUGUAAAGCAUGUACGUAGCUAGGGUUUGCCAACGGCCUCGAUAGUUAAGCGCUAGUGUCAUAAACCCUGAGUUUCUUCAAGGAUCUUCGACGAGAGGUCUGGCGACCAUCGGCUGGUCGCGCCACGGACCUAGGACCCUGGGAAAUUCCGCUGCGUUGCCACCUUCUUCUGCAAACGCUACCCCCGCCAAAUGGCACCCCCCAGACGGGCCACGGGCACCCUGAUGAGGCACGCACAAUUUGGCGGGUUUCUUGACGAGUCAGUCUUGGACGAGUCGCCCUGGGAGACAUUCUCCCUAAAUAAAUAGAAUUCUUCCAAAAAUCUGUAAUUAAUUAAAUCGAACACGCCCAAAUCAUCCCUUCACGUCCAAAAUUUCAAUUCGCACCUUUCCUCACUGCUAUCACCCAUUGACUAUAGCGCUUGCGCACAACUGCUUACUCGUAACUUUGGCAUGCGACAUGUUGGUUACGGACUACACUAUAACUUGAGCAGUCCAUGGUCGAAGGGAAUCACUCAUCUUGCAUCUCUCUCAGACCGUCUUCUCUCUCGCAGUUCACACACCAGUUAGGAUAGAACUCAAUGUAUGAGCCAUCGAAAUGAACUUCUCUCGUUGAUAACUUUUAUGGACAAUUGAAAUAAAUUUCUCUCGUCGAUAAUUGUUAUGAGCGAUCAAAAUGAAUUUCUUCCAUAGAUAACGCCCAAAUAAAGGCCCAAUUUUAGUUCCUCCGAGAGAAUAUUAAAUCAAGUCUGGUAAUUUUGAAUAUAGGUAAUUUUAUGUUGUGCCGCCUCCGAAAAGGUUGCAUUGUAUUUAAUAGACUGUAUUUAAUAAUUGAACCAAAUUCAUCAAGAGCUGGUGAGUAAUAAUACAGUUUAAAUAGAAAUUAUUUCAUACUUGUUGGAUUUUCUCUUCUUUGAAAGAAAAAGUUCUCGUAAUAAAAAAAACCAUCUGUGCGCGUUUGGGUUUCAUUCCUAGACACAAGUAAAGAGGGUGCAGCUGCGUCCCAUCUUGGCUUGUUUAGACAGAGUAUGGGACCGAUAGGGUCUAUGGUUCAGUAACGAAAUUCUUCGUUACUGACCUCGUGUUGCAUUCAGUCGAGCUGCUUCUUUCGAACUAAACAGACGUACUCUUCCGUGGUCUUCUAAUAAAGUUUUAAAGUCAAGUUAAAUAAAAGACUAACUCAUUCAUGCCACCGCCUAUAUUUCCAAUAAUACUUUUUACUGGAUUUUGUCAUACUUUUAAGCAAUUAUAUCUAGAGUUGGCGAGUAUUCACAUAAAUUAACUAGAAAUUAUUUCAUAGUUUUCAGUGCAGUUUUAAUCUUUAUCGAAUAACAGUUAAUUGACCACAACAGUAGUUGCUAUAUUCUGAAAAGCGAUAACGUCCGUUUCAACGAUUUAUGUUCAUUGGCGUAGCCUUAAUUAUACUAAAGUGUUGCGAUAUGAGAUAAUCGUUAACGAGCAAAACAUGCUAAUGAAAAACAUUUGUAUUCAGAGUGCAACAAAUAAUUCAACCUAUCAACAUCUCAGGGUCUACCCCCAUCGAGUGUAGAUCAAAUAAUAAUUUAAAAUUUGUUGGCGUCGGUUUGAAACUGUGUUAAACAAUGUAAUUUAGUGCAAAUGAAUUCGUCUUGAAAAGUACUAUCGCAUGAUCCACCAAAAAUAUAUAUGGUAAUUAUAGAGAACAGGUACAUCCUCACCGAUUUCUAGGAUUUUUGAAUAUGUUGUAGAAAUCAACAUUUUGAACAACUUUUUCCUAUACAUAUAACCGUCGCUCGGCCUUAGUUUCCGAGAUAUUUGCAAAAUACCAUUGCUACUACUACAAUGAAUAUUGCGUAUAGCAACGCGUCCGUGACAGCGUGUGUGUAAGCGUUGAGUCGUUGAUUGUUUAGGCUCGGAAUACACGUCCGCGUCUGUGAGUCUGUAUGCGUUAGCUAUCAUUCGUCGGUCGGCUCGUGUUUCAAUCUGUUUCGAACUCAUUCAUACAUAUGAAGUAGCGCAUGAUUUUUAUUCGUACAGUAAAAGAAUGGGGGUCCGGUGGCUAGCCCCCGGUCGUGAGAGCAACAACGAGUACUGCAGCGCACCACGCAGGUGUGUACAUG